rnacentral:lncRNA from 1 species
GCUUCAUCAUAGUACCGCUUCGCAAGAUGGAGAUCCAAUGGUAAACCCAAGCCUCGUUCGUGCAUGUAGCCCAGAUUGAACAUUGCUUGUGAACUAUGCUUCUCCUUUGCUCUAAUGUAAGCCUCUCCUGCUCUCUCCAGAUCUUUCGCUGCUCCCUAAAAACAAAAAACAGAGAUGCAAAAAUAAGUCCCACCGAAUCACAGCAGAAGUGCCGUUGACCGGUCCAAAAACCAUCAGAUCACAUGCGUAAGUUCUAAAGUUUUGAAUUCGUUCUAUAGCUCGGUUUAUCCAAUUGCAAUAACUUAAAAACAACGGUCAGGUAAAGGUGCAUUCUCUCAAGCAUGCAACCUUGUUCCUUGCACAACUUAUAUAAGAACAGCUGCUCAAAUUAAAUUCGAAUCGAAGAUCAAGACAUUGAUAGACAUGCAUAUUUGGGAGAAAUUCAGCUGAAAACAUACUCGGCCAUAAUAGUAAGCGUCUCCUAAUAGCAACGACGCAUGCUCGUUGCCCUGCUCGGAAGAAUGUCGCCACAGAUUGUGAGCUCGCUCGUGACGUUCUUCUGUUGUGCAAAUGCCAGAACUUCCAAUACAGAUCCUACCCCGGUACUUCUCAAGCAGCCAAGCUGCAUUGCUUUGACCCACUUCAUAGCCAAGCUCUGCAGUACGAGAGUAAAGUAACAGUGCUUUGCCAACAUUGCCUUUAAUG